UUAGUAAAAUAGAAUACAAGAACAAAGACACUGGUAGCCAAUUGGACACAAAACAGGAAAGGAUAGCAGGGAUUCAGAAAGAGUGUUUUAAGUGCGGAGGAAGAGGGAAGAGAGGGGGCUGUGGUAGCCGUGGCGGAUGUGGCCACCACAGUGGACAGGAUUGCCAUGCCUACCACAUCACCCUAAAUUUAAAUUAAAUUUAUUAAAAUGAAA